CACACACACACACGCACACACAAGCACUCAUGUUCUAGAGAUAGAGGUCUGAGUCCGAAGUUGCUGCUGCUGGGAGCUUGAGCUGAGAUGGACUGGUCUUCAUGGGCGCCCAAGGCGCUGGGUGCAGCUUUCCCCGAGACCCCCAGAUGGAAAGGAGGGAAGGAGGAACCCCACACACUCGCCUUUUGGGAGAAGAUCGGCGCGCACCCCAGAGUGCCCCAAGCCUUUGGAAUCUGCCUGCUGAGCGGAGCGCGCGAGCGUGGUGGACAGGUCCCGAACUUGGCCAGCGGGCUUUCUUGGCAACUUGCUUUGCGCAGUUCUCCAUGGAACCCUGGACCCACUGUGCUCCCGGCGCCUUGCCUUUUUUUUCCUUUUUCUUUCUCUCACUCUCUCUUUUUAAAUUUAUGAACUCGAAAUGAAGCGGAAAGCAGAUAUGCGCGUCAGCAUACUUUGGCGGGGGUCAUUUUACUUCCUAUCAUCAACAAAAAUAGCCAGAAUGAUAUUGAAACUCAUGCAAUAACUACAGAUGAUCAUUUUAUUCAUCUUUGGAUGUGUUCAUUUUUCCAUUUUUUGGUGAAUUUCUGGACACUGAUGAUAAACCAUGACAGAAUACUUUUAUGUACUAUGCCUCCUCCUAAACAUUUUCCAGACACCUCAUUAUGUAACCUGCAGCUCAUAAUGAAUGCAUAACAUGUGUAUGAUAUUAAUAGAGUUCUUCUAAAGAGAUCUCCUACAUUUUUAUUUUCAAGUAGUUCUUCAUGUGGGGGAUUGUCAGUGGGAGAUGGCACUUCAUAAGGUCUGCGGUGGUCACCCCAGUCAUCAUCCGAGGUGUUGCACCAGUUUGUGUUGCAGUUUGAGCCAUGCUGCCGACCCCUUCCAGGGCAUCUGCCACGGGCACCUCCUCCAGUCCGUGCACUAAGAUUCAAGAGAGUUGAAGAACCAGGGAAUCGUUGUAAUAACAAGCAUUCUGAAUUGCAUCAUACUGUGUACUAGCAGGAGUAUUUGGGAACUUCUGUUGCUGGAAACACGGGAGAGCAUUCUGCCUGAAGGCCGCACUGCCGUUUCUCCUUUGAGGUAGAACAUCACCUUGGUGCAGAGCACUCCAUGAGGUCUCCUCCCAGAGCCUUCCCAGUGGGAGCUUACAGGAAAUAUGGGAGAUAGAGGAAAAGAAAAAAUGGCUCCAUGAGAAAAUACCCAGACACGCCCAGAAGAUGAAAUUUGGUCUUCAUCAAUGACUGCACGUCAUUGAUAAAGAAGCUGUGGUAGAUUAGGAGCAACCUAAGGAAGGCAACAAGGUACAAUGAAUGGUCCUUGACUGGAUCCUGAAUGGUUAAGCCAGAUAAAGAAAAUGUUUGGAGCAACCGAGUAAAUUUGAACAUGGACUAGGUAUUAUAUAAGAUGAAGAUUCAUUGAAAUGGAAACCUAGAGCUUAUUAACUGGAAAAAAUGGUUAUAAAAUUAUACCUAAAAAAUCAUUUCAUUUUAGGUGUGCAUGUGUGUAUAUAGAUAGAAAAUAUCUGAAUUAUAUUCAAUAAUGUGUUUACUGCACAAAUUUCUGGAUGGUAGAGACAUGGUAUUUUAAUUAUU
rnacentral:lncRNA from 1 species